CCUUCAGUGCUUGGCUUGAGCGGAGAUGCAGAGAGCAAGGAGAGAAUCAACUCAAUCAAACAUAUGAGCUACAAGAAUAUCGAUUGCACUAGCAGCCGACGCGGAGGACGCUCACCUACGGCCACAGCCCACAAUACGAGCAGUGAGCUAUAGGUAGCUGGUUGGCUUCAUGCACAGAUCGAAUUCUGUUACCCAAAGAUUGUGAAAAGAUAAGGAGAGGAGGUUAGCUUUGGAGGGAAUCACUGGAAAAUGGCGGGACCACGUCACGACGUUCUGCACAUGGGCCUUUAUUAGUUAUGGGCUUAAGUACUAAUGAGAAGAUUACAACAUGUAGGCUAAAGAAGCAGCCCAUGGUGGCUGUUCGAACAUGUUCCGUAACAAAAUUAUUCGUACGCAUAGAGUUUUCCAUUGGAAAACACCUAGAGGUCUUCCAGCUUGCUCCACAAAGUGAUGGGCUAGCCGGUCUGGGUUCGAAGCUCACUUGUUCUAUUUAUUUGAUAUUAGGUCAUUCACUAA